UAUAUACUCCCUCCGUCCGGAAAUACUUGUCCUAGAAAUGAAUGAAUCUAGACUUAUUUUAGUUAUAGAUAUAUCCAUUUUUAGGACAAGUAUUUUCGGACGGAGGGAGUAUCAA
rnacentral:pre_miRNA from 2 species